rnacentral:rRNA from 1 species
UACGAAGGGGGCUAGCGUUGCUCGGAAUCACUGGGCGUAAAGCGCACGUAGGCGGCUUCUUAAGUCAGGGGUGAAAUCCUGGAGCUCAACUCCAGAACUGCCCUUGAUACUGAGGAGCUCGAGUCCGGAAGAGGUGAGUGGAACUGCGAGUGUAGAGGUGAAAUUCGUAGAUAUUCGCAAGAACACCAGUGGCGAAGGCGGCUCACUGGUCCGGUACUGACGCUGAGGUGCGAAAGCGUGGGGAG